rnacentral:tRNA from 2 species
CGGGGUAUAGCGCAGCUUGGUUAGCGCGUCUGACUGGGGGUCAGAAGGUCGGCGGUUCGAAUCCGCCUACCCCGA